CAGGCCUAACACAUGCAAGUCGAACGGAAAGGCCCUGCUUUUGUGGGGUGCUCGAGUGGCGAACGGGUGAGUAACACGUGAGUAACCUGCCCUUGACUUUGGGAUAACUUCAGGAAACUGGGGCUAAUACCGGAUAGGAGCUCCUGCUGCAUGGUGGGGGUUGGAAAGUUUCGGCGGUUGGGGAUGGACUCGCGGCUUAUCAGCUUGUUGGUGGGGUAGUGGCUUACCAAGGCUUUGACGGGUAGCCGGCCUGAGAGGGUGACCGGCCACAUUGGGACCGAGAUACGGCCCAGACUCCUACGGGAGGCAGCAGUGGGGAAUAUUGCACAAUGGGCGGAAGCCUGAUGCAGCAACGCCGCGUGCGGGAUGACGGCCUUCGGGUUGUAAACCGCUUUCGCCUGUGACGAAGCGUGAGUGACGGUAAUGGGUAAAGAAGCACCGGCUAACUACGUGCCAGCAGCCGCGGUGAUACGUAGGGUGCGAGCGUUGUCCGGAUUUAUUGGGCGUAAAGGGCUCGUAGGUGGUUGAUCGCGUCGGAAGUGUAAUCUUGGGGCUUAACCCUGAGCGUGCUUUCGAUACGGGUUGACUUGAGGAAGGUAGGGGAGAAUGGAAUUCCUGGUGGAGCGGUGGAAUGCGCAGAUAUCAGGAGGAACACCAGUGGCGAAGGCGGUUCUCUGGGCCUUUCCUGACGCUGAGGAGCGAAAGCGUGUGGAGCGAACAGGCUUAGAUACCCUGGUAGUCCACGCUGUA
rnacentral:rRNA from 1 species